rnacentral:rRNA from 1 species
UGGGGAAUAUUGGACAAUGGGCGCAAGCCUGAUCCAGCCACGCCGCGUGAGUGAUGAAGGCCUUCGGGUCGUAAAGCUCUGUGGGGAGGGACGAACCGCUGCACGUUCAUAGCGUGCAUCAUGACUGUACCUCCUUAGCAAGCACCGGCUAACUUCGUGCCAGCAGCCGCGGUAAUACGAAGGGCGCAAACGUUGCUCGGAAUUAUUGGGCGUAAAGCGCACGUAGGCGGCUUGACAAGUCGGUUGUGAAAUCCCUCGGCUCAACCAAGGAAGUGCAGCCGACAGUGUCGAGCUGGAGGACGAAAGAGGAUCGCGGAAUUACCGGUGUAGAGGUGAAAUUAGUAGAUAUCGGGAGGAAGACCAGUGGCGAAGGAGGCGAUCUGGGUCGAUGCUGACGCUGAGGUGCGAAAGAGUGGGGAGCAAACA